rnacentral:rRNA from 1 species
AGCGUACACGGUGGAUGCCCUGGCAGUCAGAGGCGAUGAAGGACGUGCUAAUCUGCGAUAAGCGUCGGUAAGGUGAUAUGAACCGUUAUAACCGGCGAUUUCCGAAUGGGGAAACCCAGUGUGUUUCGACACACUAUCAUUAACUGAAUCCAUAGGUUAAUGAGGCGAACCGGGGGAACUGAAACAUCUAAGUACCCCGAGGAAAAGAAAUCAACCGAGAUUCCCCCAGUAGCGGCGAGCGAACGGGGAGCAGCCCAGAGCCUGAAUCAGUGUGUGUGUUAGUGGAAGCGUCUGGAAAGGCGCGCGAUACAGGGUGACAGCCCCGUACACAAAAAUGCACAUGCUGUGAGCUCGAUGAGUAGGGCGGGACACGUGGUAUCCUGUCUGAAUAUGGGGGGACCAUCCUCCAAGGCUAAAUACUCCUGACUGACCGAUAGUGAACCAGUACCGUGAGGGAAAGGCGAAAAGAACCCCGGCGAGGGGAGUGAAAAAGAACCUGAAACCGUGUACGUACAAGCAGUGGGAGCACGCUUAGGCGUGUGACUGCGUACCUUUUGUAUAAUGGGUCAGCGACUUAUAUUCUGUAGCAAGGUUAACCGAAUAGGGGAGCCGAAGGGAAACCGAGUCUUAACUGGGCGUUAAGUUGCAGGGUAUAGACCCGAAACCCGGUGAUCUAGCCAUGGGCAGGUUGAAGGUUGGGUAACACUAACUGGAGGACCGAACCGACUAAUGUUGAAAAAUUAGCGGAUGACUUGUGGCUGGGGGUGAAAGGCCAAUCAAACCGGGAGAUAGCUGGUUCUCCCCGAAAGCUAUUUAGGUAGCGCCUCGUGAAUUCAUCUCCGGGGGUAGAGCACUGUUUCGGCAAGGGGGUCAUCCCGACUUACCAACCCGAUGCAAACUGCGAAUACCGGAGAAUGUUAUCACGGGAGACACACGGCGGGUGCUAACGUCCGUCGUGAAGAGGGAAACAACCCAGACCGCCAGCUAAGGUCCCAAAGUCAUGGUUAAGUGGGAAACGAUGUGGGAAGGCCCAGACAGCCAGGAUGUUGGCUUAGAAGCAGCCAUCAUUUAAAGAAAGCGUAAUAGCUCACUGGUCGAGUCGGCCUGCGCGGAAGAUGUAACGGGGCUAAACCAUGCACCGAAGCUGCGGCAGCGACGCUGAUGCGUUGUUGGGUAGGGGAGCGUUCUGUAAGCCUGCGAAGGUGUGCUGUGAGGCAUGCUGGAGGUAUCAGAAGUGCGAAUGCUGACAUAAGUAACGAUAAAGCGGGUGAAAAGCCCGCUCGCCGGAAGACCAAGGGUUCCUGUCCAACGUUAAUCGGGGCAGGGUGAGUCGACCCCUAAGGCGAGGCCGAAAGGCGUAGUCGAUGGGAAACAGGUUAAUAUUCCUGUACUUGGUGUUACUGCGAAGGGGGGACGGAGAAGGCUAUGUUGGCCGGGCGACGGUUGUCCCGGUUUAAGCGUGUAGGCUGGUUUUCCAGGCAAAUCCGGAAAAUCAAGGCUGAGGCGUGAUGACGAGGCACUACGGUGCUGAAGCAACAAAUGCCCUGCUUCCAGGAAAAGCCUCUAAGCAUCAGGUAACAUCAAAUCGUACCCCAAACCGACACAGGUGGUCAGGUAGAGAAUACCAAGGCGCUUGAGAGAACUCGGGUGAAGGAACUAGGCAAAAUGGUGCCGUAACUUCGGGAGAAGGCACGCUGAUAUGUAGGUGAGGUCCCUCGCGGAUGGAGCUGAAAUCAGUCGAAGAUACCAGCUGGCUGCAACUGUUUAUUAAAAACACAGCACUGUGCAAACACGAAAGUGGACGUAUACGGUGUGACGCCUGCCCGGUGCCGGAAGGUUAAUUGAUGGGGUCAGCGCAAGCGAAGCUCUUGAUCGAAGCCCCGGUAAACGGCGGCCGUAACUAUAACGGUCCUAAGGUAGCGAAAUUCCUUGUCGGGUAAGUUCCGACCUGCACGAAUGGCGUAAUGAUGGCCAGGCUGUCUCCACCCGAGACUCAGUGAAAUUGAACUCGCUGUGAAGAUGCAGUGUACCCGCGGCAAGACGGAAAGACCCCGUGAACCUUUACUAUAGCUUGACACUGAACAUUGAGCCUUGAUGUGUAGGAUAGGUGGGAGGCUUUGAAGUGUGGACGCCAGUCUGCAUGGAGCCGACCUUGAAAUACCACCCUUUAAUGUUUGAUGUUCUAACGUUGACCCGUAAUCCGGGUUGCGGACAGUGUCUGGUGGGUAGUUUGACUGGGGCGGUCUCCUCCUAAAGAGUAACGGAGGAGCACGAAGGUUGGCUAAUCCUGGUCGGACAUCAGGAGGUUAGUGCAAUGGCAUAAGCCAGCUUGACUGCGAGCGUGACGGCGCGAGCAGGUGCGAAAGCAGGUCAUAGUGAUCCGGUGGUUCUGAAUGGAAGGGCCAUCGCUCAACGGAUAAAAGGUACUCCGGGGAUAACAGGCUGAUACCGCCCAAGAGUUCAUAUCGACGGCGGUGUUUGGCACCUCGAUGUCGGCUCAUCACAUCCUGGGGCUGAAGUAGGUCCCAAGGGUAUGGCUGUUCGCCAUUUAAAGUGGUACGCGAGCUGGGUUUAGAACGUCGUGAGACAGUUCGGUCCCUAUCUGCCGUGGGCGCUGGAGAACUGAGGGGGGCUGCUCCUAGUACGAGAGGACCGGAGUGGACGCAUCACUGGUGUUCGGGUUGUCAUGCCAAUGGCACUGCCCGGUAGCUAAAUGCGGAAGAGAUAAGUGCUGAAAGCAUCUAAGCACGAAACUUGCCCCGAGAUGAGUUCUCCCUGACUCCUUGA